CAGUAGCCACGGUAAUACGUAGGUGGCAAGCGUUGUCCGGAAUUAUUGGGCGUAAAGGGCUCGCAGGCGGUUUCUUAAGUCUGAUGUGAAAGCCCCCGGCUCAACCGGGGAGGGUCAUUGGAAACUGGGAAACUUGAGUGCAGAAGAGGAGAGUGGAAUUCCACGUGUAGCGGUGAAAUGCGUAGAGAUGUGGAGGAACACCAGUGGCAAAGGCGACUCUCUGGUCUGUAACUGACGCUGAGGAGCGAAAGCGUGGGGAGCGAACAGGAUUAGAUACCCCAGUAGUCCCUGUCUCUUAUAC
rnacentral:rRNA from 1 species